rnacentral:rRNA from 1 species
GCGAACGCUAGCGGCGAGCCUAACACAUGCAAGUCGAACGCCCACCUUCGGGUGGGAGUGGCGAACGGGUGAGUAACACGUAGGUAACGUACCUUUUGGUGGGGAACAACCCAGGGAAACCUGGGCUGAUACCGCAUGUGCCCUUCGGGGUAAAAGCCUUCGGGCGCCAGAAGAUCGGCCUGCGUCCCAUUACCUAGUUGGUAGGGUAACGGCCUACCAAGGGAACGAUGGGUAGCUGGUCUGAGAGGACGACCAGCCACACUGGGACUGAGACACGGCCCAGACUCCUACGGGAGGCAGCAGUGGGGAGUAUUGGACAAUGGGCGAAAGCCUGAUCCAGCUACGCCGCGUGGGUGAAGAAGGCCUUCGGGUUGUAAAGCCCUGUCGGGAGGGAAGAAAGGCCCCGCAAGGGGACUGACGGUACCUCGCAAGAAAGCACCGGCUAACUCCGU